GACAUCAGGAGGUUAGUGCAAUGGCAUAAGCCAGCUUGACUGCGAGCGUGACGGCGCGAGCAGGUGCGAAAGCAGGUCAUAGUGAUCCGGUGGUUCUGAAUGGAAGGGCCAUCGCUCAACGGAUAAAAGGUACUCCGGGGAUAACAGGCUGAUACCGCCCAAGAGUUCAUAUCGACGGCGGUGUUUGGCACCUCGAUGUCGGCUCAUCACAUCCUGGGGCUGAAGUAGGUCCCAAGGGUAUGGCUGUUCGCCAUUUAAAGUGGUACGCGAGCUGGGUUUAGAACGUCGUGAGACAGUUCGGUCCCUAUCUGCCGUGGGCGCUGGAGAACUGAGGGGGGCUGCUCCUAGUACGAGAGGACCGGAGUGGACGCAUCACUGGUGUUCGGGUUGUCAUGCCAAUGGCACUGCCCGGUAGCUAAAUGCGGAAGAGAUAAGUGCUGAAAGCAUCUAAGCACGAAACUUGCCCCGAGAUGAGUUCUCCCUGACUCCUUGAGAGUCCUGAAGGAACGUUGAA
rnacentral:rRNA from 1 species